AGCCCCGUAGUGUAGCGGCCAAACUUUCAGUUAAGCUGUAGGACCAUUCAUUUCGCCCUUUGGAGGCGGAGACCCAGGUUCGAAUCCUGGCGGGGCUA
rnacentral:tRNA from 2 species